AGAGUUUGAUCCUGGCUCAGGACGAACGCUGGCGGCACGCUUAACACAUGCAAGUCGAACGAGAGAAGAGGAGCUUGCUUUUCUGAUCUAGUGGCGGACGGGUGAGUAACACGUGAGCAAUCUGCCUUUCAGAGGGGGAUACCGAUUGGAAACGAUCGUUAAUACCGCAUAACAUAAUUGAACCGCAUGAUUUGAUUAUCAAAGAUUUAUCGCUGAAAGAUGAGCUCGCGUCUGAUUAGCUAGUUGGUAAGGUAACGGCUUACCAAGGCGACGAUCAGUAGCCGGACUGAGAGGUUGAUCGGCCACAUUGGGACUGAGACACGGCCCAGACUCCUACGGGAGGCAGCAGUGGGGAAUAUUGCACAAUGGAGGAAACUCUGAUGCAGCGAUGCCGCGUGAGGGAAGAAGGUUUUAGGAUUGUAAACCUCUGUCUUCAGGGACGAAAAAAGACGGUACCUGAGGAGGAAGCUCCGGCUAACUACGUGCCAGCAGCCGCGGUAAUACGUAGGGAGCGAGCGUUGUCCGGAAUUACUGGGUGUAAAGGGAGCGUAGGCGGGAUCGCAAGUCAGAUGUGAAAACUAUGGGCUUAACCCAUAAACUGCAUUUGAAACUGUGGUUCUUGAGUGAAGUAGAGGUAAGCGGAAUUCCUAGUGUAGCGGUGAAAUGCGUAGAUAUUAGGAGGAACAUCAGUGGCGAAGGCGGCUUACUGGGCUUUAACUGACGCUGAGGCUCGAAAGCGUGGGGAGCAAACAGGAUUAGAUACCCUGGUAGUCCACGCCGUAAACGAUGAUUACUAGGUGUGGGGGGACUGACCCCUUCCGUGCCGCAACAAACGCAAUAAGUAAUCCACCUGGGGAGUACGACCGCAAGGUUGAAACUCAAAGGAAUUGACGGGGGCCCGCACAAGCAGUGGAGUAUGUGGAUUAAUUCGAAGCAACGCGAAGAACCUUACCAGGUCUUGACAUCGUAUGCAUAGCUCAGAGAUGAGUGAAAUCUCUUCGGAGACAUAUAGACAGGUGGUGCAUGGUUGUCGUCAGCUCGUGUCGUGAGAUGUUGGGUUAAGUCCCGCAACGAGCGCAACCCUUACUGUCAGUUGCUACGCAAGAGCACUCUAGCAGGACUGCCGUUGACAAAACGGAGGAAGGUGGGGAUGACGUCAAAUCAUCAUGCCCCUUAUGACCUGGGCCUCACACGUACUACAAUGGCUGUCAACAGAGGGAAGCAAAGCCGCGAGGUGGAGCGAACCCCUAAAAGCAGUCUUAGUUCGGAUUGUAGGCUGCAACCCGCCUACAUGAAGUCGGAAUUGCUAGUAAUCGCAGAUCAGCAUGCUGCGGUGAAUACGUUCCCGGGCCUUGUACACACCGCCCGUCACGCCAUGGGAGUCGGUAACACCCGAAGCCUGUAGUCUAACCGCAAGGAGGACGCAGUCGAAGGUGGGAUUGAUGACUGGGGUGAAGUCGUAACAAGGUA
rnacentral:rRNA from 1 species